GGCUGCCAACUUCGGGACCUGCGGACGCCUCCCCAGUCCUUAGAAGAGUCCCGUCGCUUCAACCACGUCCCGAGGACCCCAAGAUUCCGAGGGCCUGCUGCUUGCUUUAGCUAGGCUCUGGAACCCUCUAAUCUGCAUUUCAGCCUCGGUGGAUUUGCCUAUUCAGAACAUUCUAUAUAAAUGGAGUCAUACAACAUGUGGUCUCUGUGACUGGCUUCUUCCACGGUGUGUGCAGACUGGAUGCACGUGGUUCCGCGUAGCCACACCUCGGCCAGACUCAUCUCCCACUGUGUGUAUAGGAAGCAUUUGUUUAGCCUUUCCUCAGUCGAUGCUUACCUACUUUCCCCCUUUCUCUCGGUGUGAAUAAAGUGCUAGUGUUAAAAGUC